rnacentral:piRNA from 1 species
UGUUUGAUCGUUGCUUAGACAAGGCGC